rnacentral:rRNA from 1 species
UACGGAGGGUGCAAGCGUUGUCCGGAUUUAUUGGGUUUAAAGGGUGCGUAGGCGGCCUUAUAAGUCAGUGGUGAAAGCCCACAGCUCAACUGUGGAACUGCCAUUGAUACUGUAAGGCUUGAGUACAGACGAGGUAGGCGGAAUUGAUGGCGUAGCGGUGAAAUGCAUAGAUACCAUCAAGAACACCGAUUGCGUAGGCAGCUUACUAGGCUGUAACUGACGCUGAGGCACGAAAGCGUGGGGAGCGAACAGG